rnacentral:rRNA from 1 species
AACGAACGCUGGCGGCGCGUCUUAAGCAUGCAAGUCGAACGGCAAGAGAGGAGCUUGCUUCUCUCCUAGAGUGGCGGACUGGUGAGGAACACGUGGGUAAUCUACCCUUAAGAUGGGGAUAGCUGCUAGAAAUAGCAGGUAAUACCGAAUACACUCGGCAUAUCACAAGAGGUGUUGAGGAAAGGAAGCUACGGCUUCGCUUGAGGAUGAGCUUGCGUCCCAUUAGCUAGUUGGUGAGGUAAAGGCCCACCAAGGCGACGAUGGGUAUCCGGCCUGAGAGGGUGAACGGACACAUUGGGACUGAGAUACGGCCCAAACUCCUACGGGAGGCAGCAGCUAAGAAUAUUCCGCAAUGGACGGAAGUCUGACGGAGCGACGCCGCGUGGAUGAAGAAGGCUGAAAAGUUGUAAAAUCCUUUUGUUGAUGAAGAAUAAGGGUGAGAGGGAAUGCUCAUCUGAUGACGGUAAUCGACGAAUAAACCCCGGCUAAUUACGU